AGCGCCUGCCUCGCAGAGCUUCCGCUUCCGGCCCUUCAGGCUCUGUCUCUGUGGAGACUCGGCUUUGGGAGGGAGAAAGAGGGACCUAGCGCGGGCCGCGCAGGCGCACGGUGGGCAGCUGCAAUGGCGCUGUCGUGUACCCUUAACAGGUAUCUGCUCCUAAUGGCGCAGGAGCAUCUGGAGUUCCGCCUGCCGGAAAUAAAGUCUUUGCUUUCGCUUUUUGGAGGUCAGUUUGCCAGCAGUCAAGAAACUUAUGGAAAGUCACCAUUUUGGAUUCUUAGCAUUCCCUCUGAAGAUAUUGCAAGAAAUUUAAUGAAACGGACAGUGUGUGCCAAGUCUAUAUUUGAACUAUGGGGUCAUGGACAAUCUCCUGAGGAGCUGUACAGUUCUCUUAAAAAUUACCCUGUGGAGAAGAUGGUUCCAUUUCUACAUUCGGACUCUACAUAUAAAAUAAAGAUUCACACUUUUAAUAAGACAUUGACACAAGAAGAGAAAAUCAAGCGAAUAGAUGCACUUGAAUUUCUGCCAUUUGAAGGGAAAGUGAAUUUAAAGAAACCGCAACAUGUAUUUUCUGUUUUGGAGGAUUAUGGUUUAGACCCAAACUGCAUCCCUGAGAAUCCACAUAAUAUUUAUUUUGGUAGAUGGAUUGCAGAUGGACAGAGAGAGCUUAUUGAGUCAUACAGUGUCAAAAAGAGACACUUUAUUGGAAAUACAAGUAUGGAUGCUGGUUUGUCAUUCAUUAUGGCUAACCAUGGAAAAGUGAAAGAAAAUGAUAUUGUCUUUGAUCCAUUUGUUGGAACAGGUGGCCUGCUGAUAGCAUGUGCUCAUUUUGGUGCAUAUGUGUAUGGGACAGACAUAGACUACAACACAGUUCAUGGCUUGGGAAAGGCUACUAGGAAAAACCAGAAGUGGAGAGGACCAGAUGAAAACAUUAGGGCCAAUCUUCGUCAAUAUGGUUUAGAGAAGUAUUACCUUGAUGUCCUGGUUUCAGAUGCAUCUAAACCUUCCUGGAGGAAGGGCACAUAUUUUGAUGCAAUCAUUACUGAUCCUCCAUAUGGUAUCAGAGAAUCUACAAGAAGAACAGGUUCACAGAAGGAGAUACCAAAGGGGAUAGAAAAAUGGGAAAAAUGUCCAGAAAGCCAUGUUCCUGUUUCCUUGAGUUAUCAUCUGAGUGAUAUGUUUCUUGACCUGUUAAACUUCGCAGCUGAGACCCUCGUUUUAGGUGGAAGACUAGUCUAUUGGUUACCGGUGUAUACGCCAGAAUACACUGAAGAGAUGGUGCCUUGGCACCCUUGCCUGGAACUCGUUAGCAACUGCGAGCAGAAGCUUUCCAGUCACACAUCAAGGCGCUUGAUCACAAUGGAAAAGGUGAAGAAAUUUGAGAAUCGGGACCAGUAUUCACAUCUGCUAAGUGAUCAUUUUCUGCCAUACCAAGGUCAUAAUUCCUUCCGUGAGAAAUAUUUUAGUGGGGUAACAAAAAGAAUUGCCAAGGAAGAAAAAUCCACCCAGGAAUGAAAAUUAAGAUUUUGACAAUGAAGAAAGAAUAAGAAUUUGAUUUAAAAAGACAUCUGGAUGUGAACUUUCAUGUAUGAUCCAGAAAAUAGACGGUUACCUUGGUGGUGUUCAUCAGAGGUGCCUCCUUCCCGUCUAUUCUGAUUGGCUAAGCUGAAAACCAGUGCCGUUUCAAUGGACUGCAAUGGCUGUUCAACCUCAGUGCCAGGAAUUAGACAUAGUCCUAUCCUCAAUGAGCUCAUGGUCUGGAGGAUGGCGGUGGUAUGAAACAAAGAGUGUUCUAAAUCAGGAGCCAAAAGAAGUUGGAGCAGCUGGGGCCAAUUUUUACAUGUAAAACUAACAGAGCAAUUUGGCUGUCUGAUGCUGAACUGAAGAGUGACUUUCCUUUAACUUUGUCAUCACUACAGCUUCCAACCUGCCCUGUUCCAGAUGUGCAACAACUGGGCUUUGAAAGAGUGUGACUAGAAAAUCAAACAAGGCACGUGGACACACAAAGGAGAUAAGAGGCUCCAAGAGAUCACGUUCCUUUCUUGUGUAAUUUCUUUCAUCUAAUUCUGUCAACAUUUACUGGAAACCUCUAUCUGGAACACAGAUUACCUCAAGUAAUCUGCCUGCCUCAGCCUCCCAAAGAACUGGGACUACAGGCAUGAGCCACCACGCCCAGACAAUUUAUAAUCCUAGUGAUCAUGUUAGAACAACAUCUGUUGUCAACCAAUCAUUGAGUAUUUGUUGAGGAUAUUCUUUGUGCUACAUUAAGUGAAUGGAGGCAGCAUAUCAAGUCUCUACCUUUUUCACAACCUAGUUUGGUGAGAUAAUGUUAGUAUAGAUUAAGCAAUUGUUACUAGUAAAAAUCAGUAUAUUAUUAAUACUAAGUUGUGUGGCACAGACUAGAACUCUCAGAAAAGAGGCUGCAAUCAUAAAUAUGGUGAGAGUCAGGGAUCCUUCUGGGCUUUAAAGAAAUGCUUAAUCAUAGACUGUGUACCUAUCCCCCUGCUGAACAAGACACAUCCUUAGUUUCAAGACAGACUGGGGUUUGGGAAUAUGGGUAGCUCUGUGCUAAUGCAUCACCCCACUGAGGAAACAGGGUUUGUAUUCUACUUACUGUGGCUUCAUUGCAUAAAUUUUAUGCUCAUUGGAGAGAAUAUUUACUCACAAUCUAGCCCAUCCAUUCUUAUAAAAGAGACCUCUGAAAGGUAAGAGUCACUUUCCUGAGGGAAAUGCAAGACUCUGGGAGAGAGAGGGCACUUUGAGAAUGGGAAAAUUGCCUGUGAAAUCAAAUUUAGGUGAAAAGAUAGCCCAGCAGCCAUAUGUAAAUCAUUCCCUCAUGUAGGAACAAUGCUGUGCACUUGGUAAUUCAAUAGAAAACAUUAGUCAUUUAUCAUCCUUAAUUAUCAGUCAUCUCUAACUGCAUCUGGUUUGCAUUUUUUAUUAGAAAGGUUUUUUUGUUUUUUUUUUGAGUUGGACUCAGGCAUUUUUUUUCUUCCGUUCCUGAUUUCAUUUUGUUAUUCUUUUUAAAAUUCCAUCACUAAUUCCCAUGAUGUGAAGAGGUUUCUAUUUCAUAAGACACAAUAAAUCAAGCAACGCCUCUGUU